AGUGAACGCUGGCGGUAGGCCUAACACAUGCAAGUCGAACGGCAGCACAGUAAGCGCUUGCUCUUACGGGUGGCGAGUGGCAGACGGGUGAGGAAUACAUCGGAAUCUACUUUUUCGUGGGGGAUAACGUAGGGAAACUUACGCUAAUACCGCAUACGACCUACGGGUGAAAGCAGGGGAUCUUCGGACCUUGCGCGAUUGAAUGAGCCGAUGUCGGAUUAGCUAGUUGGCGGGGUAAAGGCCCACCAAGGCGACGAUCCGUAGCUGGUCUGAGAGGAUGAUCAGCCACAAUGGAACUGACACGGUCCAGACUCCUACGGGAGGCAGCAGUGGGGAAUAUUGGACAAUGGGCGCAAGCCUGAUCCAGCCAUACCGCGUGGGUGAAGAAGGCCUUCGGGUUGUAAAGCCCUUUUGUUGGGAAAGAAAAGCAGCAGGUUAAUACCCCGCUGUUCUGACGGUACCCAAAGAAUAAGCACCGGCUAACUUCGUG
rnacentral:rRNA from 1 species